rnacentral:rRNA from 1 species
AUAGGAAACACUAAGGCAUCUUAGUGUUUUUAAAAGACCUUUUUCGAAAGGUAUACUUAAAGAGGGGCUUGCGCCACAUUAGUUAGUUGGUAGGGUAAAAGCCUACCAAGACGAUGAUGUGUAGCUGAACUGAGAGGUUGAACAGCCACAUUGGGACUGAGACACGGCCCAAACUCCUACGGGAGGCAGCAGUAGGGAAUUUUCGGCAAUGGAGGAAACUCUGACCGAGCAACGCCGCGUGAACGAUGAAGUACUUCGGUAUGUAAAGUUCUUUUAUCGAAGAAGAAAACGUAGUGAAAAAACUACCUUGACGCUAUUCGAUGAAUAAGCCCCGGCUAACUAUGUGCCAGCGGCCGCGGUAAUACAUAGGGGGCGAGCGUUAUCCGGAAUUAUUGGGCGUAAAGGGUGCGUAGGCGGUUUGAUAAGUCUCUAGUUUAAAUUCAGUGCUUAACGCUGUCCUGCUAGAGAAACUGUCUGACUUGAGUAAGAUAGAGGCAAGCGGAAUUCCAUGUGUAGCGGUAAAAUGUGUAAAUAUAUGGAGGAACACCAGAGGCGUAGGCGGUUUGCUGGGUCUUUACUGACGCUGAGGCACGAAAGCGUGGGGAGCAAACAGGAUUAGAUACCCUGGUAGCCCACGCCGUAAACGAUGAGUACUAAGUGUCGGGGUUCAUCCCUCGGUACUGAAGUCAACACAUUAAGUACUCCGCCUGAGUAGUACGUACGCAAGUAUGAAACUUAAAGGAAUUGACGGGAUCCCGCACAAGCGGUGGAUCAUGUUGUUUAAUUCGAAGAUACACGAAAAACCUUACCAGGUCUUGACAUACUCUGCAAAGCUAUAGAAAUAUAGUGGAGGUUAUCAGGGAUACAGGUGGUGCAUGGUUGUCGUCAGCUCGUGUCGUGAGGUGUUAGGUUAAGUCCUAAAACGAGCGCAACCCUUGUCGUUAGUUGCCAGCAUGUAAUGAUGGGGACUUUAACGAGACUGCCAGUGAAAAAAUUGGAGGAAGGUGAGGAUUACGUCAAAUCAUCAUGCCCCUUAUGAUCUGGGCUACAAACGUGAUACAAUGGCUAUGACAAAGAGCAGCUGAAACGUGAGUUUUUAGCAAAUCUCAAAAAAAUAGUCUCAGUUCGGAUUGAAGUCUGCAACUCGACUUCAUGAAGUUGGAAUCGCUAGUAAUCGCGAAUCAGCAUGUCGCGGUGAAUACGUUCA